GUCUACAGUCAUACUACCCUGAAUGUGCCUGAUCUCAUCUGAUCUUGGAAGCUAAGCAGGUCAGGCCUGGUUAAUACUUGGGUGGGAGAGGAAGCUUGUGUUCUUUGGCCUGCUGUAAAUA
ensembl:rRNA 5S_rRNA 5S ribosomal RNA